rnacentral:rRNA from 1 species
ACGAACGCUGGCGGCGUGCUUAACACAUGCAAGUCGAGCGGUAAGGCCCUUUCGGGGGUACACGAGCGGCGAACGGGUGAGUAACACGUGGGUGACCUGCCCUCAGCUCUGGGAUAAGCCCGGGAAACUGGGUCUAAUACUGGAUAUGACUCCACGGUGCAUGCCGUGGGGUGGAAAGCCUUGUGCGGCUGAGGAUGGGCCCGCGGCCUAUCAGCUUGUUGGUGGGGUGAUGGCCUACCAAGGCGACGACGGGUAGCCGGCCUGAGAGGGCGACCGGCCACACUGGGGCUGAGACACGGCCCAGACUCCUACGGGAGGCAGCAGGUGGGGAAUCUUGCGCAAUGGGCGAAAGCCUGACGCAGCGACGCCGCGUGAGGGAUGACGGCCU